GCCUAGUUAGCUUGGAGGUAACGCGUCUGUCUUGUAAUCACUAGGUCGCAGGUUCGAUUCCCGCCCGGGGCU
rfam:Asian citrus Psyllid, Diaphorina citri - Florida Strain, whole genome shotgun sequence.